rnacentral:rRNA from 2 species
AAACUUUCAACAACGGAUCUCUUGGCUCCAGCAUCGAUGAAGAACGCAGCGAAACGCGAUAAGUAAUGUGAAUUGCAGAAUUCAGUGAAUCAUCGAAUCUUUGAACGCACAUGGCGCCUUCCAGUAUCCUGGGAGGCAUGCCUGUCCGAGC